GCCAAUGCCAGGUGUCCCUGAGGGAAUGAACAGAACAGGAGAGGAGCUCCAGAAUUCUGUGGUGCGAAGUGUAAGAGAACAUCAGCACAUUGUAUUUUUACAAACCAGGAAUGAGAAUGAAUGGAACUGAGAGCGAAUGGAACUGAGAGCCGACAAUUGAAACUCUGCCAUGGUGCUCUGUGGGCUGUCUGAAAUCUAGCAGCAGCAGGGGAGUGUUUCUAGGUACUGUUGCAGAAGAGUCUCUGAGUGUGGGGGUGCUGUGAAGAUAGCAGAGUGGCAGUCAGAAUGGCAUCAGGUGUGCUGGGGAGUGCAUGAUAGAGCACUAAUUGCUACAUGCUGUGACAGAGUGAAGCAUAUGUUCUCCCCACCCCUGUGCAAACUGUGGUCUGACAGCGGCAAUGAAAGUAGGGUAGGAUUUGCCAUGCCUUGUUAAUAUGUGAGCUCCAUGGUUCUGUCCCCAUUUUCAUUGGAUUUUUACUUUCCUCCAUCCCACCACUGCAACUUUUUUUCUCCUAAGCAAAACCAGGAUGAAAUGAUAACUAACUUUAGAACCUGUGAGUAAUUGAUACCAAAUCUAUCUAACUGAUCAGUCUUAUUUAGUCUUUGGUAUUUCUGAGGCACCUUUUAAUCUUUGGUCUGGUUUUUCAGAGGAAUUGAAGGUGCUCAAAACCAGCUGAAAUCAGUGGGAACUCUCGAUGUUUAGCACCCUGGAGAAUCAUGCCCCUUGAAGCUAAGCAUUGAUGCCAAGUCAAAAAAAGUUGGCCUUUCCCUGCUGUACGAGUUUUGUGGUCUGCCCACUCCUGGUAAAUUCUAUACGUUGUUUUGAAAUUUCACUGGGCUUGUGUCAUCACAUUCUGUCAAGUUUUGAGAUAUUUACUGUACUUUUGGAUUUAUGACAUAAGGUAAAUUAGAGCCAAAUCAAGGAUGAUACAAGUAGAGAUAUCAUCUGGAGACUAAGGAGAGAUGAACUGGCUUCGAUAGUAGGGGAAAAAAAGCUUGAACCUUUGUCAGAACUUUAUGUAAGAUCUUUUGAGGCUUGAAAAUGUUAUGACUAGCAUUCCCCUUAAAUUAUGUUUUGUCCCUCCCCAUUCCCGUCUCUCUUCAAGAACUAGAAAUAAAACUGGCCACAAGGUAGGCUAUUCUUGCAGUAUUUCUUAAUCAACUAGAAGCAAGAAGGACUAUAUGUCUCUCCAAUUCAUUCCUAUCAGAUCUUCAGAUCACCUUUGCAGACCCAAGGCGAUGAGGUACCGGUAUCUCAGAUAAGCUAAAUAUUCAGUGUGGAAUCCUGGCUCCAUUUAAGUCAAUUGGAUGGUUGUCAUUGACUUAAAUGAUGCAAAGAUUUCACCAUUUGGGGUGCUUCUCCAAAUAAACAACAAAUGUACUUUCUGAAGUUCACCCAUCUCUAUAUAAGAUAUAGAACUGGCUUUCAGAAAAGAUGGAUUCAGUCCAGUUUUGCCAAUGACUUAUUCUGUGGCCUCGUGCAGAUUAUUGAACAUCUCCAUUCCCCAUUUCGACAGUGGAGAUUUUGAUACUUAACCACUUUUGUAAAGUGCUUUGAGAUUGAAAGAAGAACAGUACUAAAUUAUAUUAAUAAUAAAUUAUAGCAUAGGAGAUUAAAACAGGCGUAGUGUAUUUUAACUCAGGACCAAGUGAAAUUUCUAUUUAAGCACUUUCAUUCAAAGAAACUACGUCUUUUGUUUCCCUUGUGAUGGUCUGGUUUUGGAGCACAUUAAAUCGUGAUCAGUUGUGUCUUACGCAAAAAAAAAAA